rnacentral:misc_RNA from 1 species
GAUGAAGAACGUAGCGAAAUGCGAUACGUAAUGUGAAUUGCAGAAUUCAGUGAAUCAUCGAAUCUUUGAACGCAUAUUGCGCUCUCUGGUAUUCCGGAGAGCAUGCUUGUUUGAGUAUCAGUAAACACCUCAACUUCCAUAUCUUCUUUGAAAUGGGAGUUGGACUUGAGUGAUCCCAACGCUUUUCCUCACCGAAAAGUGGCGGGUUACUUGAAAUGCAGGUGCAGCUGGACUUUUCUCUGAGCUAUAAGCAUAUCUAUUUAGUCUGCCUAAAAAACAGAUUAUUACCUUUGCUGCAGCUAACAUAAAGGAGAUUAGUUCUUGUGCUGACUGAUGCAGGAUUCACAAAGACGGCUUCGGCCGACUUUGUAAACUCGAUCUCAAAUCAAGUAAGACUACCCGCUGAACUUAAGCAUAUCAAUAAGCGGAGGA